UACAGAGGUCUCAAGCGUUGUUCGGAUUCAUUGGGCGUAAAGGGUGCGUAGGUGGCGCCGUAAGUCGGGUGUGAAAUUUCGGAGCUUAACUCCGAAACUGCAUUCGAUACUGCGGUGCUUGAGGACUGGAGAGGAGACUGGAAUUCAUGGUGUAGCAGUGAAAUGCGUAGAGAUCAUGAGGAAGACCAGUGGCGAAGGCGGGUCUCUGGACAGUUCCUGACACUGAGGCACGAAAGCUAGGGGAGCAAACAGG
rnacentral:rRNA from 1 species